rnacentral:lncRNA from 1 species
UUUCUUCACUUAACUGCAUUUUAUAUGCUUAAUAUAUUUUGUAAGUGCUUUAUUUAUUUGUACAUUAAAUUCAAGUUAGUCAGUGAUUAAUUCUAUCAUGCAUGCAUGCAUGCAUGUGUCUGCUAUCAUAUUCUAUUCCAAAUAUUAUAAUGAGUGAGAUUCAAUUGUUUUGUUUGGUGGAGAGUUAGUGGAAGAAAUGGCUUGCUCAGACUUCAACAUUAUUGCAAAAAUAAUGCUUAUUUUAUAAAUUCUGAUUUUAUUUCUUGCAUAUGCUGUCUGUUCUGGAAAGCAAAUUCUCAGGGUACAACUGGAUAUAAAAUCAUGCUUUGCGCUUGUCUACUUGAGUGGUUUCUUGCCAACAAGAUUAUGGAAUUGCUGAUAAUAUUAUUUGUGCAUUAAAUUCAAGUUAGUGAUUAAUUUUAUUAUGCAUGCAUGCAUGUGUCCGCUAUCAUAUUCUAUUCCAAAUGUUAUAAUGAGUGAGAUUCAAUUGUGUUGUUUGCUAGAGAGUUAGUGGAAGAAAUGGCUUGCACAGACUUCAACAUUAUUGCAAAAAUAAUGCUUAUUUUAUAAAUUCUGAUUUUAUUUCUUGCAUAUGUUGUCUGUUCUGAAAAGCAAAUUCUCAGGGUACAACUGGAUAUAAAAUCAGGCUUUGCUUUGUCUACUUGAGUGGUUUCUUGCCAACAAGAUUAUGGAAUUGCUGAUAUAACUAAAAUUAUUAUUAAAUCUGAGUCAGGCCUAACUCAUCCCAAAACUAGCUCAAGGUGAGGAGAGGGGUACCUGUGGCCCAUAUAAGGGGCAUGUUACCCUUUUCCAAACUGAUGUGGAUUCAACAGACCCUCAGGACCACACUAGAGCGUGACAUAUUCAUGGGAGGCCCAACAUUAGUAGGAGACUCUUAUACGAUGUUAAAUCUGAGACAGGCCUAAAUCACCCCAAAAGCCCCAAAAGCUAGCUCAAAGGGAGGAGUCCCUAUGACCUAUAUAAGGGCCACAUUACCCUUUCCCAAAUUGAUGUGGAUUCAACAAUUAUGUUAAUGAUAAGUGGAUGAAUUAGAAAUGGGUCUAUCUGAAAAGACAAUUGAGACAUGGGGAUAGUAUAUUCACUGAAGGGAAAGGAGGAGUGAGACAGAAAGAAGUAAUAAGAAGUUGGAGCAGAAAGGCAAGAGGAAAACAAUUAAAAAGCUAGUUGAUAUCUUGAUCUUGUUUGCAGAGCAACUUUUAUCACGGGGAUGUGGCCAUCAGUCA